rnacentral:misc_RNA from 1 species
UUGUGCACGACAACGGAUGCUUUCGAUGAGGGGAGGCGAAGUGCUGGCUAGGGUGGCUGCUAAUGGCGGAGUCGGUGUGGAGAAGCGAAGCAACGCUGAAGGAGGGACGGAGAAAACCUUCAGAGGCUGCGACGAUCCCGUGAUAAUGCGACAAUGUAUUGUAGCGGACACGCAAGGUCAUGUCGCAGGGAUACUGUUUCCUUGCGACGCCUCAGAAGCGAAAAGGAAGGGGGCAGUGAAGCAGGCACACAGGGAGUUCCAAAUGGACAAGCGGUCAUGCGUACACCUGUGAGGCGUUUAGCGUCUCUCUCGGCGAUCAGUCUCGUUCGCCGAUACUCACUGGUGAGCGCAUGUGUGGUUGUUUGGCGGCUUUGCAUGCGCGAUCGGGGGUGCGUGUGAGGGUCUCACCGUUGAUAGCGACGGCUGCUUGAAGGAAUAGGGACAGAAUACGUGAGAAGUGGCAGGCGCGACAGGAAGUCAAAGGAAACAAAAACAAAGACUUAAUGUCUGAGCAUGCGUGAGGUGGAGGGAGAAGGGAAGCAAAGAAGAACAAAGAGAAAGCGGGGCUGGCUCUUUCCUUGCUGCGGCGAGCAGCGACGCUUGUGGGGCGAAGAGAUCGCAGACCCGCGUAAGCGACAGAAAGUCGAGGCAAACAAACGCCCUCGCCUUUUGGCACCACUUUGCUGACUUGCGAACACAUACAUGCAUACACACACAUACACACAAACAGGCCUACGCACAAGCAUUCGCAUCAAACCAGCCCCACCACACACACAGAUUCGGACCAACAGUUCGCACAUAUCACUUGCGCGUCACUUCCAAAUUGACUGAGGGUGCCCACGUUUCUUCGAGUGCACAGACUUUAGCGGGUGCGUUUUGUAUUGAGGAUUUGUCUUGCUUUCAUGGCAGUGUUUUUUUUGAACAUUCUUUCUACUAUAUGUACAUGUAUAUAUGUUAAAUAAAAUAUAUCUAUAUAUUUAUAUUCCACCUCCCCAUCCUUUUAUUGCAUUGUCUCUCGAGGUUUUAAUGUGUGAACACGUGCCUACUUGUAAACUUUUGUUUUCGGGUUUCUGUUUCUAAUGGUCCGUUUCCUUUUUUUCUUGUUUUUCUCGUGCGUUUUUCAUCUCCUGCCUUUCCGCUUUUCCAUCUCUCUUCUCCAUCCCCCUCCUUUUCUUUUUCACACUUUCUCACUUGUUUGUGCUGCUUUCUGUCAGAGGCUCCCUCCCUUCCUCUCUUUAUAUAUAUGUUGUGUUUGUUGUGCGUGUUGUGUUUUCGUGCUCGAUGCGGCCGCUUUUUUGUUCCUUUUCCUUUUUUGUUUAUUAUUUGUGUAUUUAUGUGAGCUGCUUUGCAUCGUCCACGUUAUAAGUGGUGUGGAGAAAGGGAACACCGCGGCUCUCUGCCUCUCCUCCUCUUUUCUUCCCUUCCCCUCCCCUCCCCGGUCUUUUAGUUGUUUAUCCGCGUCUGCGAGUGUGUAUUCAUGCAUGUUGAUGUGUAGCAUUCAUGGAGGCGUAGUUGGUGGUUUGCUAUUUUUCUUGCUUUGUGAUUGCAUGGGAUAUACGAUCGGGCACUCGCUCACGCAGACGUAUUGGUAAAGACACCCCUUGACGCCAGCGGGAAUUCAGCAGCGGAAGAACAGAUCAACGAAAAGAAAAAGCACAUCUUUGCCUCUGGUCUACGUGUGCGGUCAUGUGCUUCUCACGGGGUUUCUUUUCUCGCUCGUUCUCGCUCCUCAUCUGCCUCCCUCUUCCCCUUCGGGUCGGGCGUGUGCAUAGCGUCGCUCACUAAGGCACUGCCUUUCGCUGUCUCUCUGGCUGCUUCGAAGCCACCAUCUUGAUGCUUCUCUGUUUCGCCAAAGUUUCUGACCGACGGUUUGUGUGCGUGUGUGUGCUGUACUCAUAUCUUCUUUUUUUCCCUUCCCUUUUUGUGUGUGCGUUGCUCCUUUCUUUGCUCAUUCCCUCCUUCUCUUCGUCCGUUGUUGUCUCUGGCGGGUGCGUCUGAGGAAGUCAGGUUGCUCGAGCUAGAAAAACAAAACUAAACCAGACAAGAGACGCAGGUGACCUUCAGGUUUGUGGAGAAUUCUCAGAAGACGCGCUCACGUGGAUCACGGUUUGCGACGUGGUAACACACACCUAGCUGCCGCUGCUCUGCCGCUUCGCCUCUCUUCUGUCUACUGCUUGACACCCUUUUUUUUGAGCUGUCAGCCGUUUCUCUCUCAAGAGGUGAUACACCUGGGCGUUUGAGAGGAGGCAGGCUGUGCAGCGAGCGGCAGUGAUUGGGUGAAGAGGGUUCUACAAGGUUUCUCUUGUUCCCCGUCAGAACAGAGCCCCGCCGCAUCAGCUCCGUAUCUCGCUCCCCGUAAGCGAGAGGCGCUCCUUCGCAGUUGCGCUAACUUGGAAUGCCAUCUUGCUCACACUCCUUCUCGUAUGGCCGCUGCAGUUUUUUCUUUCCGUUGCCGCAGUUGCGCGUUUCACCGGCAUGCAUAUUGCAUGCGUUGUAAUCCUGUUGUCGCUCGUCUUCAUCCUCACCCUUCCUUUGCCCACUUACUUGUCACAAG